GUUUGAUCCAUAAUUCAAUCUCAAUCAAAUUAGCUUAUAUGUUCAAUCAAGUCAAGUACUUUCAUCUUGGACAUAUAAACAUAGGUCAAUUCCUUCUUACUUUGUCUAACUUGCGUGUGUGACUCCAUAGGUUCCAACACUAAGCCGGUAGUACAGGAACCAAUUCCUACACUAAUCGAGAUACCAUCUAGCAAUGAUUUUCGACAUCCAGAU
rnacentral:lncRNA from 1 species